rnacentral:lncRNA from 1 species
ACUUCACUUACUUCAUGCUCACUCUAGAAAGACUGGCUGCAAAUACACAGCGAAUUUUUGGACUUAGAUGCUGCUCUUCAAAUUACACUGUGGUUGUAGCACAUUAGAAACAGCUGGGUAGUGCUGGGUUUUCAAGAGAUCAACAUUUUCCCCUUAUCAAAGUUCUGAACCAACUUGAAAGAGAAAGGAGAAAAGUACCUUCAGGACAGAUAAAGUCCAGAUUGAAAUAAGUGGCCUAAUUGUGUAUUAACAAUGGGCUCCCUAACCACUCAGGCAGGAAUGAGGCCUCCAGGGCUUUUUGCUAUCAGGCACAGAGCUGACCACAGCAGAACAGAAGUCAAACUCUAAAGAGGAGGGGUGAGGUGGAGAAGAGAUUGAGACUCUACUCAGCUCACCAGUGAAGUAACUCACUCCACUUCUCUUAGGAGAGGAAAGAAAACCUGCUGGGGCCUAAGCUGAAACCAUGAAAUUAGAAUCUCUCAAAACGGAGUAUGUGGCAUCAAAAAAGAUUCCCAGCUCAUUCUUAUGUGCAUCCUUACUGAGGCACCUUAGAAGGAAGUGAAAAAUCAUUCACAAAUUGAGACCAAUCAUCUAAUUCACCUGGUAUAUGUGUCUGAUUUCUGAGGAUGCUUAAGAUGUAAUAAAUGUAUUGAUUCAACAAAGAUUGGCUUUGUACUGUGUGCCAAACUCUGUUCUAGGCCCUUAGUGUGAUCUAGAAAGAAACCAGAGAACCCUGCCUCAUGAAGCUCAUGCAUUCCAAUCAUGGAAACAGGCAUAAACAACUGACAUGAUAAAGAAAUACAUUGUUU